CGCGGCCUAGCCUAACGGUUAUCGCGCUUGCUUUCCACGCAAAAGGCUGGCGUUCGAUUCCUGGCCGCGG
rnacentral:tRNA from 1 species